UACAGAGGGUGCAAGCGUUGUUCGGAAUUAUUGGGCGUAAAGAGCUCGUAGGCGGUCUGUCGCGUCGGCUGUGAAAUCCCGAGGCUCAACCUCGGGUCUGCAGUCGAUACGGGCAAACUAGAGUAUUGCAGGGGAGACUGGAAUUCCUGGUGUAGCGGUGAAAUGCGCAGAUAUCAGGAGGAACACCGGUGGCGAAGGCGGGUCUCUGGGCAAUAACUGACGCUGAGGAGCGAAAGCGUGGGGAGCGAACAGG
rnacentral:rRNA from 1 species